rnacentral:sRNA from 1 species
ACCUAAAAUUGAGAAUAAACAAAUGUGAACGCAUUGCAUUUCACUCCCAAUACUGGGUUUUCUAUUUAAGAAAUAAACGAUUACUGGAUUUCUGGGUGUGGCAGAACUUGUGAAACUGGAUGAAACAAAGCACAGGAGUGAACAUCAAAGUUAGGACUGCGGAAAUAUUCACAGUGUGAAUCCACCAAAGCCCGCCCCCCCAACGCAAUCAACAAGUGAACAAUGCAUUUGGACACCACGGCAGCAAUGAAGCGCCUGCAGCAGCUAUGAUAAAGAGAGGCAGGACUCAUAAAAUAGACAGCGAAGGGAAGGAACAGACAGAACACAAAUGAAGAACGUGGUGGCUUCUCGGUGUUGAAGAGCUGCGAGGGCAUACUGAGUGGUGGGAACCGUGUAAACUGAAUCAGGAUUUGAGGCUCCUUCACAGGAGGGAAUUCACGCCUGAUACUGUGCAGAUCUGGUUACAAGACGUGCCAGGGAAGUCAUGGAGGCCCUUCCCACCUCCCGGGACCUAUUGGAUACUGGAGAAUAAGGAGUCACUGUCCUCAGCUCCAUACUGGUGCUCAGGUGGAAGACCCUGCUUGAACUCAGCGGGUCACAAAACACAACAGAAAGACUUGAGAGUAGGAUGGGGACCCAGAAGGAGAGGGGUCAGUGAGGGUUGGCGUGAGGGUGAGAGGAUGGAGAGGAUGGGGGCAUGAGUGUGAUCCGUGUACUACACACAUGUGUGAACUGGCAAAGAAGUCAAUGACAAGGAAGUUAUUCACAACAUUAUCAUUCUCUUUCUUUUGUGUGCAAAUUAAGUGUAUCUAAGAGGGCGUCUUAUUGUUCCUGGUUUGUUUGGUUUUUGAGACAAGAUCUCAGUAGGUAACCUGGAAUUUACUGGAUGUCAUCAAAGUCAUCAGGGGUGUUGCCUUUGAUGUGACGCUGAUAUUUCUCUUACUAUUGGGCAUUUCUCCCAGUGCUCACAGGUACCUCCUCCUGAUUCAGUUUUCUAUAUCCACUGUCUAGUUAUCCAUUUAGCAAAAUGUUUUGUUGCAAAAUGUUCUAACAAUGUAACAGACAUUCUGUAUAUAAAUCCUGAUGCAUGUGUCUCUCUGCUUUACAUUAAUCAAAUAAGACUAAUACUCCUCAAAACACUAUUCAAAUUAAGUGACUGGAAUUAUAAUUAUUCUGUUUCAUCAAACUAUGAUGCUAUUAUUUUCUGAACCUGUAAGAGGAAAAAAAAAACUCCUCCAAUUACAACUGUAAGAAGUGUCAUGAUUUCAGAGACACUAAUUAGCGUAAGAGUGUGACUCCCAGAGUGGAAUAGCUAUGACCGUUACAGGUGUAUCAGCUAAUCAGAGAACUAUUUUCAGUAAAUCUCCCUUUCCACUAUUUAUGCUAACCUAUAUUACUGACUCUGGGAUGCCCACUUCUCUUUUUAGCCAUAUAAAUAUCCCUGUUGAUUACUGUUAUUAGUAAGUCAGUUUCUUACUUAGGACUAAGUGACUAACAGACAUAACAUGGAAAAAACCUGAAGUCGCCACUUCUAAAUACAACGGGAUGAGGCUAGCUUAAGGAGCCAGCAGUCUUGGUCUCUCUGAUUAAAUAUUUAUUGGGAGUCAUAAUACAUAGUAGGUACUGAGCUGUGAAUCAUUGAUGAAGAUGAUGGGGUAAACCCCAAAAUUGUUGAGGGGUUCUAAUCUAUACUAAAAAUAUACAAAUGACCACCAGGGAGAUAAAAAGGUGGCAAUAGGUAAGGGGCAUUCUGUCCUUAAAAUUAAAGUUCAACCGAUGCUGUACAUAUAAAAUGUAGCUUGUGCAUGCUACUAGCUCCAGAAUUGGGGGAAACAAGGAAGGAGAAGUGAGAGUCUGGGGCUAGUGAGGGCUACAUAAUGAAAUCAUCAUGGCUCAAAUAAAGACAGGAAAACCUGAAAAACAAAACUCCUCCAUCCCAUUCCCUCCCCUUCUCACCAGUCCCCACCCUGGACAGCACUCACUGAUAGCUGUCUGUCUCUAAAAGUUGAUGUGUGUUUUCUGGAACAGUACAGAAGGUACCGUGCACUGCAGGAACCAAAACCAGACACACAGGUGUGGAUCGCAACCAACCACACAUAACUGAGACUGGAUGAGGAGGAGGGGACUACUGUAUUCUCCAUCCACAGAGCCUUUUACUCAUUACAGCAAUGCAAAGUCCAUCCGUGUUGCACAUAUCUUUUCAUUUUUUUAUUUAUUUUAUGUAUAUGCUGUUGCUGACACACCAGAAGAGGGCUUCAGAUCCCAUUACAGAUGGUUGUGAGUCACCAUGUGGUUGCUGGGAAUUGAACUCAGGACCUCAGUGUAAGCACUGAUAGAGGACAGCAGAGGGUGUUACAUCUUUUGGGGCUGGAGUUACAGAUGGUUGUGAGCUGAUCAGCAUGGAUGCCAGGAACUGAACUCAGGUCCUCUAGAAGAGUCUCAAAUGCUGAGCCAUUUCCCAUGUCCGGUGCAUCAAUAGUAGGCACACGUAACUUUUCAAGAAACUGCCACACUAUAUUGCAGAGUGGCUGUGUCGCCUUAUAUCACCACCAGCAGUGUAGAGAGUUCUAGUCCCUCCACAGUCUCAGCCACACUGGUGUGGCUGGCAUUUUGAAUUCUGGCUAUUCUAAUGAGUAUGAGGUCAUCUCUCUGAUGACUAGUUAUACUGAGCAUCUUUCCACGCGCUUACUUCCUGUCUGUGUAUCUUCUUUGGCAAAAUGAUAAAAAUUUUUGUUCAUUUUUAUUGCUUUGAUUAUUACUGAACCUAGAGAACUAUAAAAACAUUCUGAUCUCGAAUCCAUGACCAUCGAUAAAAAGGAACAAACUAUGAAUACAUUCAGCAGCGUGGGUAAAUAAGCUGAGUAAGCAGGCACGUAUGACUCCUUCAGGAAAAUAUUGGAAGGUGUAAAUUAUCUCACAAGACAUUUUGCAUUCUUCUCUCUCCUCUCUUUUCCUUGUUUUGUAGGUAAACUUUCCUAUAUUUUGAAGACCUUUACAUCUCUCCGUGCAACUUCAUUUCAGAGUCUGGCACUGUGGCUCUUCUCCAUUUCUUUGUAGCCUGAGGAGGAGCGAGGAGGAGUGGAGGAGGGGAGGGAGAGCUCGCUGAGUACUGGGCAGUCUGUAUGAGCCUGCUUCUUUCCUUGGUUUGUCAAGUGAUCUUUUACUGACGAGCUUCCCUCUGGGGUUAAGCAGUUGAGCACUGUACUGCACCACUACUGGUGUCAUCCAUGGAGUCAAAGGGCAGCAACACCCAACACCCAACACUGCAGCCUGAGAGCUGGUAACCCCUGUCUCUAACAGUUCUAGGAGGUCUCUAGAUAAAACCCGGUGGGGUGGCGAGGCUGACACCACCUAACCGAGAGUGCCUGUCCCACUCUAACAUUUUUCUGUCUUCACUGCCUCUGAGUAGGUGUUUGAGGACUUCAGUGGUUAGGGCAGAGGUAGAAGGUGCCUGUCCUGAAUGCAAACUCCACUCUUACAUCUUUCCCAUUGCUAGCUGUCCUGGUGAUGCUGUCAUCAACUUUAUUUUGGGGUGGUGGUGGUGGUAGUAACACCAGGAACCUGAGAAGAGGAGGUGCCGCCUUCUGCUGGCCCUUUGACAUCUUUGGGGCUGACUUGGAUGAUACAGCAGAGGCAGCUGGUUCCACACAUAGGAGGAAAGCUGCACCUUGGCCUUCUCCAAGCCAAAAAUCUGAAAAGAGUACCUUCUGAGCUUUGGAUUGCUCAGUUCAGCUCAGAGCCCUGAAAAUGAUGGGCUCUGGGGCGGCCAGAAAUACUCCUGCAGUAACUUAAGUUUCUUUUCAAGGAUUUGGGCAACCCCUACCAAUGCCUGCUGAGUACCAUGAAGAAGUCUUAUAGUCUGCCCGUUAACUGUCUACCCAGGACGGCUUCUCAGGGAUACAGGUGGCUCAAAUACCACUGGGUCCUGUAAGAGCUGACAAUUCCCAAUUUCCUCAGCCACUAGUUUUCUGUCUACAUGGUCUUUUGGGGAUUGCUGUUCCCAUAGUUCUGCUUGGUUUUUACUAAUUCUCAUCUAUUGAAGGAAUGGGUUGAAGAAGGAAUACUUUAUUUUUCAGUUUCACUUCAUGUUCUUUACCUGGAAGGCCCUUGUGUAUCUGUGAAAUAGACAAGCGUAGUGAUCACGUCAUCUUGGCUGCUCCACAGAUCCUAGUCCAGCAUGAAGCAUGGAUCCGUACACAAACUAUGAUGAGGAUUAAGAAACCGAGCAAGGGAUGGAUUAAACAGCUUCUCAAAGUCAAGUAACCAUUGAGCCUGUGUUCUCCAUGUCUAGAGAGCAUCUCUUGUGUCUUUCUUGUUGGCCCUUUGCUCCUGCUAACCCAUCCAGGGUACUGUCAGCAAACCCAGUCUCUACAACGUCAGCCCCUCCAUAGUGACCCCACGGUGCCUGAAUGUUAGCUCUGGAUCCCGCACCACAAGCAAACUUGUCCUCACCCAACCUCUCCCCUCUAACAUUCCAACUUUAUCUUCUACGGAUCUCCAGAAGGUCCAGAGAAUACCCAAAACAAAAUAAAAAACAAAUGAAAAUUAUUUACUACUUCCUGAAAAUGCCUUGUAUAUCCUCAUCUGUGUCUAACAUUUGUACCCAGCAUAGCCCUUACUCUGCUAUGCUAUAUGCAUCAGCGCAAACUUUUGAUGGGGUAGGUGGGAGUUUGCAGGGGUGAGGGUGGGGGUGGGGAGUGGGGUGGAGAUGGCCUUAUUCUGUAGCUCUAGCUAGCCUGGGACUUGCUACGUAGAGCAGGCUUGCCUCAGGGAUACAUUUGCCUCUACCUCCCGAAUGCUGGGAUUAAAGACUGUACCACCACACUCAGCUCUCAACAAAUGCUUUUGUGUUAGGCACCGUCCCAAGUACUGAUGGCAAAAUAAAUAACCCUAAUUUCAGAUUUCCCAAUUUGAGAAAUCUUCUUAGCUGGGCUGAAUAGGUGGCUCACCCUGUAAUCCCAAUACUUGGGAGGAGGGAGCAAGAAGGUCAAGGGGUCAAGGCCACAUCCUCCUCUGCUAUAGACACGAAACUGUCUUGAAACAACAACGCUCCUCUCCGAUGUCCACCCCAGAAGCAGUUUCUCAUGACUGAGUUGCUUCUUACAAAGCAAACGGUCUAUAACACUCAGCCUUUGAACUUGAGGCUUCAUGUUGAGAUUUGUAGCCUUUCAUAAACAUCUAUCUUCCUAAGUGGCAUGGAAUUCUUCAAAGCAUGAGACAGGGUCACAGUGAAAAGUAACAGAUACAGAACACGCCCAUGCCCAACACCUGUGGGGCAGCAGGCCCAUGCCCAACACCUGUGGGGCAGCAGGCCCAUGACAAACACCUGUGGGGCACCAGGCACAUGACCAACACCUGUGGGGCAGCAGGCCCAUGACAAACACCUGUGGAGCACCAGGCACAUGACAAACACCUGUGGGGCACCAGGCACAUGACAAACACCUGAGGGGCACCAGGUCCAUGACAAACACCUGUGGGGCACCAGGCACAUGACCAACACCUGUGGGGCAGCAGGUCCAUGACCAACACCUGUGGGGGACCAGGCACAUGAUCAACACCUGUGGGGCAGCAGGCCCAUGACCAACACCUGUGGGGCACCAGGCACAUGACCAACACCUGUGGGGCACCAGGUGGUCUGGCCCAAUGGAUGAUGCCUAUAACAAAAGCUAUUAAAGAGGCUGAGGCUGGAGAUGAUAAGGUCAGCCAAGAGGGCCACAAAGAGGAGGGCCCAUUUAGAGAAGGACCUCCUCCCCUCGCCCCAUCGCCUGGUGGUAGCCUGGGCAGUCAGGGAUACCAAGGCUGCUGGAUGUACUAGGGAACUUCUGCUUUUCAAUUCCAUUUUCGAAAGAGUUGGGAACAUGUAAGUCAGUGUUGGUUGCACAGGCUUUUGGACUUCUACAACCUAACUUAUAUCAUCAACUUUGAAAAAGAAAUCCUUUCUCACAGGAUUAACUGUGUGGCAGUUAAUUCCAACACUCAGGAGUCAGGGGCCAGCUUGGUCUAUAUAGUGAGUUCCAGGACAGCCAGAGCUACAAAGAAGAGUCUCUGUCUUUAAAAAAAAUUUUUUUCUCUUGGUUAUAAUAGGAAAGAUACCUAAUGAGCAUAUAUAAUAACAUAUAAUAUCAAAUUUAAAGGUAAAAUUUGGGCCAGCAGGAUGGUUCAGUGGUGAAGUUCAGUGGGAUACCAACCGCAUCUUGCUGCUCAGCCUGACGAUGAGUUGAGUCUUUAGAACUCACAUGGUGGAUAAGGAGAAAAGAAACUUGUCCUCUGGCCUCCAUAUCUGCUCUGUGGCACGGGCUUCACAAA